rnacentral:rRNA from 1 species
UACGUAGGGGGCAAGCGUUGUCCGGAAUCAUUGGGCGUAAAGCGCGUGUAGGCGGUCCGGUAAGUCGGUUGUGAAAGUCCAGGGCUCAACCCUGGGAUGCCGAUCGAUACUGCCGGACUAGAGUCCGGAAGAGGCGAGUGGAAUUCCCCGGUGUAGCGGUGAAAUGCGCAGAUAUCGGGAGGAACACCAAUGGCGAAGGCAGGUCUCUGGGCCGCAACUGACGCUGAGGAGCGAAAGCAUGGGGAGCGAACAGG